rnacentral:ncRNA from 2 species
GCCUUAUCCAGAGUGGCGGAGGGACAGGCCCGACGAAGCCACAGCAACCGGUCCCGGGGAUGCGGGAAUCGGUGCUAAUUCCUACUGGGUAAUCUCCUUACGGAGACCCGGAGAGAUAAGAG